AUCAAAUGAAUAGUCUAAAAAUGAACGGUUGAAAAUAAAAAUCUCAUAAAAAAUGAUGAUAGAAGACUUGAAUUUAAGAUCCGAAAUACUGAUCUUACUCUAAAUAGUAAAAAGAAUUUUCUAUAAAAUUUCAUCUGAUUUGAAUUGUUUUACACCGUUAAAUUUACAAAUACAUCACAUCUAUCAUUAAAAUUGUCAAUUUUGAGAUCUUUUUAUCACUAGCCAAAUGAUGUAAACAAAUUCUGAAAUUUAGUUUCCAAAUACUUUCAAUAGUAUAGAAAAAAAUGGAGCCGAUCGUCGAUUUGGAAGUCGCAUCAUCGAAAACAACUUGGUAGCACAGAAACCUCCAUGCUACCGAUAGUAUAACAGUCGGACUAUAUAUAUAUAU
rnacentral:lncRNA from 1 species